rnacentral:tRNA from 1 species
AGCAGCGUGGCUUAGUGGAAAGAGCACGGGCUUGGGAGCCAGAGGUCAUGGGUUCGAAUCCCAGCUCUGCCA